rnacentral:misc_RNA from 1 species
GAUGAAGAACGCAGUGAAAUGCGAUAAGUAGUGUGAAUUGCAGAAGUACCGUGAAUCAUCGAAUCUUUGAACGCAAAUUGCACUCUCUGGUAUUCCGGGGAGUAUGCCUGUUUGAGGGUCGCUUAACAAACCAUCGAUUUCGUUGCUUUUUUUUUUAAAGUGAUGUUUAUCGGAUUUGAGCCGUCUUUUUUUUUAUAUUUAAGUGGCUUAAAAUUGAUUUUUUUGGUACGAUCGAAGCGUAUUUUUAUGAUCAAUUUUUGGUUAAAGAAACGCACACGUACCGUUAUUUAUAUGAUGUAAUACGUUUGACUAUUGGAUUUAGUUCAUUCGUAUACGAUAUCUUUCAAUAUUUGACCUCAAAUCAGGUAAGAACACCCGCUGAACUUAAGCAUAUCAAUAAGCGGAGGA